GGGGUGUUAGGGCACGACACCGGAGAGGGAGCCUGAGAAACGGCUACCACAUCCAAGGAUGGCAGCAGGCGCGCAAAUUACCCAAUCCCGACACGGGGAGGUAGUGACAAUAAAUAACAAUACGGGGUUCUUAAGGAUCUCGUAAUUGGAAUGAGUACAAUUCAAAUCUCAUAACGAGGAACAAUUGGAGGGCAAGUCUGGUGCCAGCAGCCGCGGUAAUUCCAGCUCCAAUAGCGUAUAUUAAAGUUGCUGCAGUUAAAAAGCUCGUAGUUGAAUUUCGGGACCAAUAUGUCGGUCGUGCCUCGGUACGUACUGGCAUCGUUGGUUUCUCCCUUCUGACGAACCAUGAUGUCAUUUAUUUGGUGUCGUGGGGAAUCAGGACUGUUACUUUGAAAAAAUUAGAGUGUUUAAAGCAGGCUCACGCUUGAAUACAUUAGCAUGGAAUAAUGAAAUAGGACGUUUGAUUCUAUUUUGUUGGUUUCUAGGAUCGACGUAAUGAUUAAUAGGGAUAGUUGGGGGCAUUAGUAUUCAAUUGUCAGAGGUGAAAUUCUUGGAUUUAUUGAAGACUAACUACUGCGAAGGCAUUUGCCAAGGAUGUUUUCAUUAAUCAAGAACGAAAGUUAGGGGAUCGAAGACGAUCAGAUACCGUCGUAGUCUUAACCAUAAACUAUGCCGACUAGGGAUCGGAUGAU
rnacentral:rRNA from 1 species